ACGUGAGUAACCUGCCCUUGACUCUGGGAUAAGCGCUGGAAACGGCGUCUAAUACCGGAUACGACCUGCCCCGGCAUCGGGUGCGGGUGGAAAGUUUUUCGGUCAAGGACGGACUCGCGGCCUAUCAGGUAGUUGGUGAGGUAAUGGCUCACCAAGCCGACGACGGGUAGCCGGCCUGAGAGGGUGACCGGCCACACUGGGACUGAGACACGGCCCAGACUCCUACGGGAGGCAGCAGUGGGGAAUAUUGCACAAUGGGCGAAAGCCUGAUGCAGCAACGCCGCGUGGGGGAUGACGGCCUUCGGGUUGUAAACCUCUUUUAGUAGGGAAGAAGGGCUUCGGCUUGACGGUACCUGCAGAAAAAGCACCGGCUAACUACGUGCCAGCAGCCGCGGUAAUACGUAGGGUGCAAGCGUUGUCCGGAAUUAUUGGGCGUAAAGAGCUCGUAGGCGGUUUGUCGCGUCUGCUGUGAAAACCCGAGGCUCAACCUCGGGCCUGCAGUGGGUACGGGCAGACUAGAGUGCGGUAGGGGAGAAUGGAAUUCCUGGUGUAGCGGUGGAAUGCGCAGAUAUCAGGAG
rnacentral:rRNA from 1 species